rnacentral:rRNA from 1 species
GGUAGCGUGCCAGCCGCCGCGGUAAUACGUAGGGUGCAAGCGUUAAUCGGAAUUACUGGGCGUAAAGCGUGCGCAGGCGGUUUGGUAAGACCGAUGUGAAAUCCCCGGGCUCAACCUGGGAACUGCAUUGGUGACUGGCAGGCUAGAGUAUGGCAGAGGGGGGUAGAAUUCCACGUGUAGCAGUGAAAUGCGUAGAGAUGUGGAGGAAUACCGAUGGCGAAGGCAGCCCCCUGGGCCAAUACUGACGCUCAUGCACGAAAGCGUGGGGAGCAAACAGGAUUAGAAACCCUAGUAGUCCACGCCCUAAACGAUGUCCACUAGCUGUUGGGCAUUCAUUUGCUUAGUAACGUAGCUAACGCGUGAAGUUGACCGCCUGGGGAGUACGGUCGCAAGAUUAAAACUCAAAGGAAUUGACGGGGACCCGCACAAGCGGUGGAUGAUGUGGUUUAAUUCGAUGCAACGCGAAAAACCUUACCUACCCUUGACAUGUACGGAAUUUGCCAGAGAUGGCUUAGUGCUCGAAAGAGAGCCGUAACACAGGUGCUGCAUGGCUGUCGUCAGCUCGUGUCGUGAGAUGUUGGGUUAAGUCCCGCAACGAGCGCAACCCCCGUCCUUAGUUGCUACAUUAGUUGAGCACUCUAAGGAGACUGCCGGUGAUAAGCCGGAGGAAGGUGGGGAUGACGUACUUGAU